CGAACGGGAAUUACUUUAUUGAAACUUCGGUCGAUAUGAUUUAAUUCUAGUGGCGGACGGGUGAGUAACGCGUGGGUAACCUGCCUUAUACAGGGGGAUAACAGUCAGAAAUGACUGCUAAUACCGCAUAAGCGCACAGGACCGCAUGGUCCGGUGUGAAAAACUCCGGUGGUAUAAGAUGGACCCGCGUUGGAUUAGCUAGUUGGUGAGGUAACGGCCCACCAAGGCGACGAUCCAUAGCCGGCCUGAGAGGGUGAACGGCCACAUUGGGACUGAGACACGGCCCAGACUCCUACGGGAGGCAGCAGUGGGGAAUAUUGCACAAUGGGGGAAACCCUGAUGCAGCGACGCCGCGUGAAGGAAGAAGUAUCUCGGUAUGUAAACUUCUAUCAGCAGGGAAGAAAAUGACGGUACCUGACUAAGAAGCCCCGGCUAACUACGUGCCAGCAGCCGCGGUAAUACGUAGGGGGCAAGCGUUAUCCGGAUUUACUGGGUGUAAAGGGAGCGUAGACGGAUGGACAAGUCUGAUGUGAAAGGCUGGGGCUCAACCCCGGGACUGCAUUGGAAACUGCCCGUCUUGAGUGCCGGAGAGGUAAGCGGAAUUCCUAGUGUAGCGGUGAAAUGCGUAGAUAUUAGGAGGAACACCAGUGGCGAAGGCGGCUU
rnacentral:rRNA from 1 species